rnacentral:sRNA from 1 species
GCAGAGCCGUGGCCCUCUUCUUUGUUCUCUGCUGGAUCCAAGAGUCGGAGUCUCCCUAUGUUUCCCAGGCUGGUCUCGAACUCCUGACCUCAAGUGAUCCUCCCACCUCAGCCUCCCAGAGCGCUGGGAUUGAAGACGUGAGCCACCGCACCUGGCCUGAAUUUUCCUCAGAUUCAAAAAAUCCUGAUGAAGGUUUGGCUAAAAUCUUUGAUGAAAUUCUGCUGCAAGUGUUUUCCAAGGUUCCGUAUGACCCAUCAUUUGAUGAAACAAGAACAGCAGUCAGAUCCAUUACAAAGAGAGACACACAAAAAAGCUAUUCCCAACAAAAGAGCUUGAACAGUGCUGCAUUUGCAUCAGGUUCAAAUGAGCGAGAGGAACAUUUGGCUAAAAUAUUUGAUGAAAUUCUACUGCAGGUGUUUCCAAAGGUUCCGUAUCAUCCAUCAUUUAACGAAACAACAGCAGUCAGAUCCAUUACAAAGACAGACAUGAGAAAAGGAACCAGUGUUGUUUGGAAAUCUCCUAAACCAGAAUAUUUCCUUGGCAGUGUGGACAAAAUUCCCGAUAAAGAUCACCUUUCAGAGGAGAAGAGUUUUAAAGAAUCCUCUCUGUUCGACAGGGUUUUAAGAGAGCAGUUAACUACUGUAGAUAAAGAAACACUUCAAGGGGCAGCUAAACCAGAUGCUCACUUUAGGACUAUGCCCUGCGGGCAGCUUCUGCACUUCCUGCAGAGGAACAC